rnacentral:misc_RNA from 1 species
GAUGAAGAACGUAGCGAAAUGCGAUAAGUAAUGCGAAUUGCAGAAUUCAGUGAAUCAUCGAAUCUUUGAACGCACAUUGCGCCCCUUGGUAUUCCAUGGGGCAUGCCUGUUCGAGCGUCAUUUGUACCCUCAAGCUUUGCUUGGUGUUGGGUGUUUGUCCCGCGUUGCGCGUGGACUCGCCUUAAAGCGAUUGGCAGCCGGCAUAUUGGCCUUGGAGCGCAGCACAUUUUGCGCUUCUAGUCAUGAAUGUUGGCGUCCAUUAAGCCUAUACAUUUGCUCUUGACCUCGGAUCAGGUAGGGAUACCCGCUGAACUUAAGCAUAUCAAUAAGCGGAGGA